GGUUGUUUGGCCGAGCGGUCUAAGGCGGUAGACUCAAGAUUCCCAUCUUUCCACCCAGCAAUGGGAGGGUGCAUUCUACUCUCGAAAGAGGCGUGAGUUCGAAUCUCACAGCAAUCA